UACGUAGGUGGCAAGCGUUGUCCGGAUUUACUGGGCGUAAAGGGCGUGCAGGCGGUUUGUUAAGUCUAGGGUGAAAGCUCCCAGCUCAACUGGGAGAGGUCCUUGGAUACUGGCAGACUUGAGGAGGGUAGAGGAGAGUGGAAUUCCCGGUGUAGUGGUGAUAUGCGUAGAUAUCGGGAGGAACACCAGUGGCGAAGGCGGCUCUCUGGGCCCUACCUGACGCUGAGACGCGAAAGCGUGGGGAGCGAACCGG
rnacentral:rRNA from 1 species